UCAUUCUCAUCUAACAAUCUUCCCUUUCUUCUCCGAAGAGUCGCUGGCACCACCACCACCAUCGUCCCUCGUGCCCAGCUCGUGCCCGCCACCACCGCCGUCACUCCUCACUUUCUUCAAACACUGAUGUUGCUUUGGGUUUUUUUGCUUUGGGGUUGUCGACGAAAAGAAUGCUGUGAGCAUCAAACAUGUUUGUUAAUUUUCAGAUUCUUUUCAUGGGUUGUCUUGGUCCAUGGACGAGAGAUCGUUGAAAGAUGCGUUUUCUUCCUUUGGGGAGGUUACUGAAGGUAAUCGUGCAUGUUGAGCUUAACCCUUUGAUUUACCAGUUGUAGUCUACGUGUUCGACGAAAUGUCUAGUUGAUUUCAGACCUCAGUUCAUCACGUGUGCUUCUGGGUCGAAACAUUUUGCUUCCUUGACUUUCAUAAUUCCAAGGUUUUUCUUUCUAAAACUAAAUUUUGUUUCAUUGAAGUUUCUUCUUUUAUAAUUCUUGUAACGAGAGAGAAAAUGAGUUUGAGAUGUUUAGGAUUUAGGAGCGUUUUGUUUCGUAGCGUUUUACUAUGCUUUUGUGAUUUUCUUGGAAUAUUGAGACAAACCAAACAAUGAGAAAUAUAGAGAUUGAAAUAAUAACGAAUUUGAGAGGUGGGAAACUAGAAUUUAUAUAUGAGGUAAAAGGAAUUUGAUGUCCAUUGGUAAUCACUCUGGAACUUCACCAACAAAAUAGCUUUUGGGGAUGAAGUUCAUUUGAUAAGUUUAGAUGAAA